ACCCAUCGUUCUAUCGUUUUCUUCUCCUGCAUUAUUAAAUUUGGGAGUUUAAACUGUUAGAAAACGGUGUUUAAAUAUUUUUAUAUUUAACACUUAUUUAACACUCCCCCUCACGUCUGGACUCGAGACUUUUUAGUCGGCCCAUGACGUGGGCUUGAAUUAAAUGGGAGAAAAUUAAUAUGCUAAGAGCCUGGCGUGACUCGAACUUAGGACCUCCUACUUCGAUACCCUACUUCGAUACCAUGUGAAACAACCGUUGUACUCUAAAGGCUUAAACUGUUAGAGAAUAGUGUUUAAACAUUUUUAUAUUUAACACUUAUAAAUUAAUC
rnacentral:lncRNA from 1 species